UACGUAGGGGGCGAGCGUUGUCCGGAUUUAUUGGGCGUAAAGAGCGUGUAGGCGGUUCGGUAAGUCUGUCGUGAAAUCCUGAGGCUCAACCUCGGGCGUGCGAUGGAUACUGCCGGGCUAGAGGGUGGUAGAGGCGAGUGGAAUUCCCGGUGUAGCGGUGAAAUGCGCAGAUAUCGGGAGGAACACCAGUGCGAAGGCGGCUCGCUGGGCCACACCUGACGCUGAGACGCGAAAGCUAGGGGAGCGAACAGG
rnacentral:rRNA from 1 species